rnacentral:tRNA from 1 species
UGUGAUAUGCCUGAUUUAAAAGGAUUAUUUUGAUGGAAUAUUUUAUGUAUUUUUACUAUCACAA